CGAGCUUCUUGCCGUCGCCGUCAUGCUGCGUAUAUAUAUAUAUAUAUAUACGCAGCAUGACGGCGACGGCAAGAGGCUAU
rnacentral:pre_miRNA from 1 species